AUGCCCUUAGUGGGGGGAGGGGGAGAGAUGGUUAUCGGCGGCCGCUGGGUAGGGGCCUUCUUCCGCCCCGGCCGCAGCGCUGCACCCAGAGCCACCCCCACCCUCCUCCGGGGUGGAGGCAGGGCGGGACCCAGCGCCCGNNNNNNNNNNNNNNNNNNNNNNNNNNNNNNNNNNNNNNNNNNNNNNNNNNNNNNNNNNNNNNNNNNNNNNNNNNNNNNNNNNNNNNNNNNNNNNNNNNNCCCUCCUCCGGGGUGGAGGCAGGGCGGGACCCAGCGCCCGGCGCCCCCUCCUCGGCCCUCCCCGGGGGCUGCGAGGGGAGCUGCAGAGGACCGGGCGCCAGCUGGAUUGGGAGGGGAGCCGCUGGCCGGGGGCCCGGCUGAUUUCCUGCUGAUCUCCUCCAGGAAACCGGCCCCUUGUGCGCCUGCGAGCGGCUCUGGGGCGCGGGGGACUCCGGAGCGCUCUGCGCCUCCUGCCCGGCCGCAGCCCGGCGGGGCCGGGGGCGGGGCAGCCCGGCAGCACGGGCGGGAGGGGACGCCUGGCUUCCUGGGCCGGUGCCAGCCCCCCGCCAGGCGCUGGAACUUUGAGCCCGAGAAGGCGUGGUGCUUCUCCCGUGCAGUCCUUCUGCGGGAAGAGGAGAGGUCUAUGUGCUGGGGCCUCUGGGGAGGGGCCAGGUCGUGGCAGUCGUUACUGCCCCAGGUGUGCAGAGUUCAGGCUAACUUUUGCAGAAGGUAGGAGGAUCCCAGAGUGUCCCUUGUUCCUCUGAGGCUGCUGGCUGCACUCUGGGGAGGUGGGGACUGGGCCGGGGCUCUGGGUUCAAAGGGCACAGUGGGAAACCUCAGAGCUGUUACCUGGGUGACAGGUGGGGGUGUGCUGGGGGUGGGGGCGUGCAGAGCAGAGUUCCGGCCCCAGAGGCAGCCGGCUGCUAUGGGGUGGGCCGAAAGGAGGCCUCACUGAAACCAAACUGUACCCCCACCUUGGGUCAUCUUGCCCCCACCCCCCAUCCUGCCAAAAAGCACAGUUUAAAAAAGCACAUUUUCCAGUUUCAUAAACAGCCUUUGGACUUGGCCUUAGCUCCAAAUUUCUACAAGCCUUUGGCCCUCCAGUCAGUCCCUGGCCUCAGAGCUGUCUGUCCUUCACCCGGGCACCCCCACCCCUGUGCGUCCAUGCCCCUCCCCUCUCUCGAGCCCACUCUGAACUCAGAGCUCCCUCUGUCCUUUCUCCCCCUGCCUUCUGGUCCAUUGGAGAGGUUUGAGACUUGGGGGAGGUGGGCCCAGGGCAAAGACUGGAUAGGAGCGGAUGGGAGGGGGGUAGGUCAGUGCCUCCAGCCUCUGCUUAUUGGGUCCCCUGCUUGUUGGAACGCUGACGGAUUCUAGGCCACGGUCCCCCCCACAUCCCCUUGUCCUUGACAACCCCACCCCCCACUAGUCUGGAUUGUCUAUUGUUACUCUUUUUACGUCUUGGAAAAAGUUAGCACAACAAAGGGCUCCUUUGUCGCUCACCCCUCUGCCUCCUGGCCUCACCCAGGCCCCCCAACCCUGCUCCCCCACAGCAGCUGUUCUCAGGCCUCUCGCCUGUCUGAUUUGCUUGUCUGGCCUCCGGGAGAGUGAGGUGGGGGAAAACCAGGCCAGGACAGUUCGAUUUGGGGUGAGGAGCAGAGUAGUGGGGGAGGGUCAGCAGAGGCUGGAUCUCUGGGGGUUUUCUGUGAGCAUCCACUGACCCUUUGCUGCAGGCUGCUCUCCGGGCAGGGACAGGGACGCAGGGCCAUAGCAGUGCUGGUCAGCGGGCUGACCAGGGAAGUGGUGCCCGGGCCCAACUAAGAGCCAGGAAAGCCUUGCCAAGGUUGUUGGCCUGGUUCCCUGUCAUCGGCCGCCUGGCAGUCUCUGGUUGUGUCUGCAGGUAAGGGGGGAGGGUGGUAGCCUGCAGCUUGCCAGCCCCCCAUCUGAGUGCUGCUUUUCUCUGUGCUUGGAUUUUGGGGCCACAUGAGCCACUGUGAGAUGCUAUGAGGUGCUUGGGCUGGAACUCUGGGCCCUGCUGAAUCCCAGAACCUCGUGUGCUGGGGUUUGGGGUGAGGCUAGGUAGGAGUCUGGGGUGUGGGAGGAGGUAAGGAUCUAUCUACUCAGGGAGGCAUCCUUGGCCCUGGACCAGUGGACUUGGCAAAGGCCUCAGGAGGCUGCCACUGGCCCCUUGGGAAUCUGGGGGUGGCCGGGUCACAGUUCCCAUCCAGUACAGUGCACCCGGAGCUGCCCUUACUUGAGGCACAGACAGCCCCCACCUAGCCCAGCCCUGUUCUGCCUGGGUGAUGGGCAUGGGGCCAGGCACUGGGGAGGAUUC
ensembl:lncRNA